UACGGAGGGGGCAAGCGUUAUCCGGAUUCACUGGGCUUAAAGGGUGCGUAGGCGGGUAUGUAAGUCAGUGGUGAAAUCCCCGAGCUUAACUUGGGAACUGCCGUUGAUACUAUAUAUCUUGAAUAUCGCGUAGGUAAGCGGAAUAUGUCAUGUAGCGGUGAAAUGCUUAGAUAUGACAUAGAACACCAAUUGCGAAGGCAGCUUACUGCACGAUUAUUGACACUGAGGCACGAAAGCGUGGGGAGCAAACAGG
rnacentral:rRNA from 1 species